rnacentral:rRNA from 1 species
CAAUGGACGAAAGUCUGACGGAGCAACGCCGCGUGAACGAUGAAGGCUUUCGGGUCGUAAAGUUCUGUUGUCAGGGAAGAACAAGUACCGGAGUAACUGCCGGUACCUUGACGGUACCUGACCAGAAAGCCACGGCUAACUACGUGCCAGCAGCCGCGGUAAUACGUAGGUGGCAAGCGUUGUCCGGAAUUAUUGGGCGUAAAGCGCGCGCAGGCGGUUCCUUAAGUCUGAUGUGAAAGCCCCCGGCUCAACCGGGGAGGGUCAUUGGAAACUGGGGAACUUGAGUGCAGAAGAGGAGAGCGGAAUUCCACGUGUAGCGGUGAAAUGCGUAGAGAUGUGGAGGAACACCAGUGGCGAAGGCGGCUCUCUGGUCUGUAACUGACGCUGAGGCGCGAAAGCGUGGGGAGCGAACAGGAUUAGAUACCCUGGUAGUCCACGCCGUAAACGAUGAGUGCUAAGUGUUAGAGGGUUUCCGCCCUUUAGUGCUGCAGCAAACGCAUUAAGCACUCCGCCUGGGGGAGUAC